rnacentral:misc_RNA from 1 species
GAUAAUAUCGCCGCAGAUAUCACCAGGUAGCGACGGAGGUAGCAAUGCCGGCAAACGGUUGCGAGCUGCUGCUUGCCGUACUUGUCUCGGUACUGUUUUUCAAUGCUGCUGGAACUGUUGCAAACGACGGGGCAACUUUGUUGGAGAUCAAGAAGUCGUUCCGCAACGUAGAUAAUAUAUUGUAUGAUUGGGCGGACUCGCCUGCCCCGGAUUACUGCUCGUGGAGAGGUGUCGUCUGCGGCAAUGAUACCUUCGAUGUUGUUGCGCUUAAUCUCUCUUCGUUGAACCUUGAUGGGGAAAUCUCGCCGGCAAUUGGGAAUCUGAAGAGCCUUGUUUCAGUAGACCUAAAGGCGAACAGGCUUACGGGGCAAAUUCCGGAUGAGAUCGGGGAUUGUUCUUCGCUGCAAACACUGGACUUGUCCUUCAACAAUAUCUAUGGAGAUAUACCAUUUUCUAUUUCCAAGCUGAAGCAACUCGAGAACUUGAUUUUGAAGAACAACCAGUUGAUUGGUCCUAUCCCCUCAACCCUGUCACAAAAUCCUAACCUAAAAGUUCUGGACCUCGCCCAAAACAAAUUGACUGGAGAUAUACCUCGACUCAUCUAUUGGAAUGAAGUUUUACAGUACCUGGGUUUGCGAGGGAACAAUUUGCAAGGGACUCUUUCUCCUGAUAUGUGUCAAUUAACUGGGUUGUGGUUUUUUGAUGUGAAGAACAACAGCUUGUCUGGGAACAUCCCUGACAACAUCGGCAACUGUACGAGUUUCCAGGUUUUGGAUUUGUCUUACAACAAGUUCAGUGGAGAAAUCCCCUUCAACAUUGGGUUUCUGCAAGUUGCUACAUUGUCCUUGCAAGGUAACAAAUUUACA